GAACUGACACGCGGGAGCUUGGACCCACCAGGCUGAGAGUGCGCCGGUCGACCGUACGCCACGGGAUCCGUGGACGUCCGUCGAGGGGGCGCAGACCGCCGGAACCUGUCCGGGUAAUGCCGGCGUAGGGAGAAAUCGGCCAUGCCGC
rnacentral:ncRNA from 1 species